rnacentral:rRNA from 1 species
AAUAGAUACCCGGGUAGUCCAUGCCGUAAACGUUGGGCACUAGGUGUGGGGGACAUUCCACGUUUUCCGCGCCGUAGCUAACGCAUUAAGUGCCCCGCCUGGGGAGUACGGCCGCAAGGCUAAAACUCAAAGGAAUUGACGGGGGCCCGCACAAGCGGCGGAGCAUGCGGAUUAAUUCGAUGCAACGCGAAGAACCUUACCAAGGCUUGACAUGGACCGGACCGCCGCAGAAAUGUGGUUUCCCCUUUGGGGCCGGUUUACAGGUGGUGCAUGGUUGUCGUCAGCUCGUGUCGUGAGAUGUUGGGUUAAGUCCCGCAACGAGCGCAACCCUCGUUCUAUGUUGCCAGCGGUUCGGCCGGGGACUCAUAGGAGACUGCCGGGGUCAACUCGGAGGAAGGUGGGGACGACGUCAAAUCAUCAUGCCCCUUAUGUCUUGGGCUUCACGCAUGCUACAAUGGCCGGUACAAAGGGUUGCGAUACUGUGAGGUGGAGCUAAUCCCAAAAGCCGGUCUCAGUUCGGAUUGGGGUCUGCAACUCGACCCCAUGAAGUCGGAGUCGC